UGGGGAAUAUUGCACAAUGGGCGAAAGCCUGAUGCAGCAACGCCGCGUGAGUGAUGAAGGUCUUCGGAUUGUAAAGCUCUGUCUUUUGGGACGAUAAUGACGGUACCAAAGGAGGAAGCCACGGCUAACUACGUGCCAGCAGCCGCGGUAAUACGUAGGUGGCGAGCGUUGUCCGGAUUUACUGGGCGUAAAGGGUGCGUAGGCGGAUGUUUAAGUGAGAUGUGAAAUACCCGGGCUUAACUUGGGUGCUGCAUUUCAAACUGGAUAUCUAGAGUGCAGGAGAGGAGAAUGGAAUUCCUAGUGUAGCGGUGAAAUGCGUAGAGAUUAGGAAGAACACCAGUGGCGAAGGCGAUUCUCUGGACUGUAACUGACGCUGAGGCACGAAAGCGUGGGUAGCAAACAGGAUUAGAUACCCUGGUAGUCCACGUCGUAAAACGAUGAGUACUAGGUGUAGGAGGUAUCGACCCCUUCUGUGCCGCAGUAAACACAUUAAGUACUCCGCCUGGGAAGUACGAUCGCAAGAUUAAAAC
rnacentral:rRNA from 1 species